GACGAACGCUGGCGGCGUGGAUUAGGCAUGCAAGUCGGACGGUAGGGCUUUAUCGUAAGAUAGAGUUUGAGAGUGGCGAACGGGUGAGUAACACGUAGGAAUCUACCCUUAAGACGGGGACAACCCAGGGAAACUUGGGCUAAUACCGGAUGAGAGUGCGAGAGAUUGCAUUUAAAAGGAUGGCGAAAGUUGUCGCUUAGGGAUGAGCCUGCGGUCUAUUAGUUAGUUGGUGAGGUAAGAGCUCACCAAGGCGAUGAUAGAUAGGCGGCCUUAACGGGUGGUCGCCCACACUGGGAUUGAGAUACGGCCCAGACUCCUACGGGAGGCAGCAGUCGAGAAUAGUCUACAAUGGCCGGAAGGCUGAUAGUGCGACGCCGCGUGAGCGAAGAAGGCCUUCGGGUUGUAAAGCUCUGUCUGGAGGGACGAAGGAAGUGACGGUACCUCCGGAGGAAGCCACGGCUAACUACGUG
rnacentral:rRNA from 1 species